GGAAGGCUUACACAUGCAAGUCGAGGGGCAGCACAUGGAAAGUAGCAAUACCUUCUUGGUGGCGACCGGCGCACGGGUGAGUAACGCGUAUGCAACCUACCUACUACUUUGGCAUAGCUCGUUGAAAGACGAAUUAAUACCUUAUAAUACAGGGACUCCGCAUGGAGAUAUUUGUUAAAGAUUUAUUGGUAGUAGAUGGGCAUGCGUUCCAUUAGUUAGUUGGUGAGGUAACGGCUCACCAAGACAACGAUGGAUAGGGGAACUGAGAGGUUUAUCCCCCACACUGGAACUGAGACACGGUCCAGACCCCUACGGGAGGCAGCAGUGAGGAAUAUUGGUCAAUGGAGGCAACUCUGAACCAGCCAAGUCGCGUGAAGGAUGACGGCCCUACGGGUUGUAAACUUCUUUUUUAAGGGAAUAAAGUGAGCCACGUGUGGCUUUUUGCAUGUACCUUACGAAUAAGGAUCGGCUAACUCCGUGCCAGCAGCCGCGGUAAUACGGAGGAUCCGAGCGUUAUCCGGAUUUAUUGGGUUUAAAGGGUGCGCAGGCGGAAUAUUAAGUCGGCGGUGAAAGUUUGCAGCUUAACUGUAAAAUUGCCGUUGAUACUGGUAUUCUUGAGUGUAUAUGAAGUAGGCGGAAUUUGUAGUGUAGCGGUGAAAUGCAUAGAUAUUACAAGGAACUCCGAUUGCGAAGGCAGCUUACUAAAAUACAACUGACGCUUAGGCACGAAGGCGUGGGUAUCAAACAGGAUUAGAUACCCUGGUAGUCCACGCAGUAAACGAUGAUUACUCGCUGUUUGCGAUACACAGUAAGCGGCUUAGCGAAAGCGUUAAGUAAUCCACCUGGGGAGUACGUUCGCAAGAAUGAAACUCAAAGGAAUUGACGGGGGCCCGCACAAGCGGAGGAACAUGUGGUUUAAUUCGAUGAUACGCGAGGAACCUU
rnacentral:rRNA from 1 species